rnacentral:rRNA from 1 species
GGUAAAAAAGCUCGUAGUUGGAUUUCUGUUGAGGACGACCGGUCCAUACCACGUAUGCGCAUCUGGCUCGGCCUCGGCAUCCUCUCGAAAGACGUUUCUGCGCUUGAUUGCGUGGAGCGGAUCUCGGGACUUUUACUUUGAGGAAAUUAGAGUGUUCACGGCAGGCUAUCGCCAGAAUACAUUAGCAUGGAAUAAUACUAUAGGAUCUCGGUUCUAUUUUGUUGGUUUCUAGAAUUGAGAUAAUGAUUAAUAGGGACAAUUGGGGGCAUUAGUAUCAACACGUCAGAGGUGGAAUUCUUGGAUUGUGUUGCGACUAACUACUGCGAAAGCAUUUGCCAAGGAUGUUUUCAUUGAUCAAGAACGAAAGUAAGGGGAUCGAAGACGAUUAGAUACCGUCGUAGUCUUUACCAUAAACUAUGCCAACUAGAGAUGGGACAUCGUUCACUUACGACUUGUUCCGCACCUUAUGAGAUAUCAAAGUCUUUGGGUUCCGGGGGGAGUAUGGUCGCAAGGCUGAAACUUAAAGGAAUUGACGGAAGGGCACCACCAGGAGUGGAGCCUGCGGCUUAAUUUGACCCAACACGGGGAAACUCACCAGGUCCAGACAUAAUAAGGAUUGACAGAUUGAUAGCUCUUUCUUGAUUUUAUGGGUGGUGGUGCAUGGCCGUUCUUAGUUCGUGGAGUGAUUUGUCUGCUUAAUUGCGUUAACGAA